AAAUCCCACGGCUCAACCGUGGGGCUUGCUGGGGAUACUGCGGGCCUUGGGACCGGGAGAGGCCGGGGGUACCCCUGGGGUAGGGGUGAAAUCCUGUAAUCCCAGGGGGACCGCCAGUGGCGAAGGCGCCCGGCUGGAACGGGUCCGACGGUGAGGGACGAAGGCCAGGGGAGCGAACCGGAUUAGAUACCCGGGUAGUCCUGGCUGUAAAGGAUGCGGGCUAGGUGUCGGGCGAGCUUCGAGCUCGCCCGGUGCCGAAGGGAAGCCGUUAAGCCCGCCGCCUGGGGAGUACGGCCGCAAGGCUGAAACUUAAAGGAAUUGGCGGGGGAGCACUACAAGGGGCGGAGCGUGCGGUUUAAUUGGGUUCAACGCCGGGAACCUCACCGGGGGCGACGGCAGGAUGAAGGCCAGGCUGAAGGUCUUGCCGGACGCGCCGAGAGGAGGUGCAUGGCCGCCGUCAGCUCGUACCGUGAGGCGUCCACUUAAGUGUGGUAACGAGCGAGACCCGCGCCCCCAGUUGCCAGUCCUCCCCGCUGGGGAGGAGGCACUCUGGGGGGACUGCCGGCGAUAAGCCGGAGGAAGGAGCGGGCGACGGUAGGUCAGUAUGCCCCGAAACCCCCGGGCUACACGCGCGCUACAAUGGGCGGGACAAUGGGAUCCGACCCCGAAAGGGGAAGGGAAUCCCCUAAACCCGCCCCCAGUUCGGAUCGCGGGCUGCAACUCGCCCGCGUGAAGCUGGAAUCCCUAGUACCCGCGUGUCAUCAUCGCGCGGCGAAUACGUCCCUGCUCCUUGCACACACCGCCCGUCACUCCACCCGAGCGGGGUCCGGGUGAGGCCUGGUCUCCCUUCGGGGAGGCCGGGUCGAGCCUGGGCUCCGUGAGGGGGGAGAAGUCGUAACAAGGUAGCCGUAGGGGAACCUACGGCUCGAUCACCUCCU
rnacentral:rRNA from 1 species